rnacentral:ncRNA from 2 species
ACUUUUGCACCCGACAACGGAUGAGGGAAACGGGUGAAAAUCCCGUGCAGUCCCGCUGCUGUAAGCCUUUUCUUACCGCAUGGUACCACUUUGGCCACUGUGAGCUGCAUCAGCCACGGGAAGGCGGACCAUGCAAGGGCAAGCCAGAAAACCUGCCGUUGGCACGAGCCGGAA